AGUGAACGCUGGCGGUAGGCCUAACACAUGCAAGUCGAACGGCAGCACAGUAAGAGCUUGCUCUUACGGGUGGCGAGUGGCGGACGGGUGAGGAAUACAUCGGAAUCUACUUUUUCGUGGGGGUUAACGUAGGGAAACUUACGCUAAUACCGCAUACGACCUACGGGUGAAAGCAGGGGAUCUUCGGACCUUGCGCGAUUGAAUGAGCCGAUGUCGGAUUAGCUAGUUGGCGGGGUAAAGGCCCACCAAGGCGACGAUCCGUAGCUGGUCUGAGAGGAUGAUCAGCCACACUGGAACUGAGGCACGGUCCAGACUCCUACGGGAGGCAGGAGUGGGGAAUAUUGGACAAUGGGCGCAAGCCUGAUCCAGCCAUACCGCGUGGGUGAAGAAGGCCUUCGGGUUGUAAAGCCCUUUUGUUGGGAAAGAAAAGCAGCAGGUUAAUACCCCGCUGUUCUGACGGUACCCAAAGAAUAAGCACCGGCUAACUUCGUG
rnacentral:rRNA from 1 species